ACGACAUCGAAAGCUUGCUUUUGAUGGGCGUCGACCGGCGCACGGGUGAGUAACGCGUAUCCAACCUGCCCAUCACUUGGGGAUAACCUUGCGAAAGUAAGACUAAUACCCAAUGACGUCUCUAGAAGACAUCUGAAAGAGAUUAAAGAUUUAUCGGUGAUGGAUGGGGAUGCGUCUGAUUAGCUUGUUGGCGGGGUAACGGCCCACCAAGGCGACGAUCAGUAGGGGUUCUGAGAGGAAGGUCCCCCACAUUGGAACUGAGACACGGUCCAAACUCCUACGGGAGGCAGCAGUGAGGAAUAUUGGUCAUGGGCGAGAGCCUGAACCAGCCAAGUAGCGUGCAGGAUGACGGCCCUAUGGGUUGUAAACUGCUUUUAUAAGGGAAUAAAGUGAGUCUCGUGAGACUUUUUGCAUGUACCUUAUGAAUAAGGACCGGCUAAUUCCGUGCCAGCAGCCGCGGUAAUACGGAAGGUCCGGGCGUUAUCCGGAUUUAUUGGGUUUAAAGGGAGCGUAGGCCGGAGAUUAAGCGUGUUGUGAAAUGUAGACGCUCAACGUCUGCACUGCAGCGCGAACUGGUUUCCUUGAGUACGCACAAAGUGGGCGGAAUUCGUGGUGUAGCGGUGAAAUGCUUAGAUAUCACGAAGAACUCCGAUUGCGAAGGCAGCUCACUGGAGCGCAACUGACGCUGAAGCUCGAAAGUGCGGGUAUCGAACAGGAUUAGAUACCCUGGUAGUCCGCACGGUAAACGAUGGAUGCCCGCUGUUGGUCUGAAUAGGUCAGCGGCCAAGCGAAAGCAUUAAGCAUCCCACCUGGGGAGUACGCCGGCAACGGUGAAACUCAAAUGAAUUGACGGAAG
rnacentral:rRNA from 1 species